UCCUUGAGCAAGUAUCCCAUGCCCCGCAGAAAGAUGACGGGCAUCCUGACGCGAAGAGAAUUGUGGGAUUGGCCUGGCUCUCGCGCCCCUCUGAGAGAUGGCGAACGAUCAGGUCACUUUAGUUUUAACGGCGUUGGAGGGCCGUUCACAAACGUAAAGUGGUCCCAACUUCUCCACCUGUACUUUCUGCUGAGAAACCAAGAGGACUGCAAGGAGGCAGAUGGAUUACAAUAAGGGAAAAUGCAAGAUUAUUCAGUGAGAGAAAGAACUGGAGCCACCUCUUGCAUUACCUGAUCUGAUCUCCUGCAUCCUUUUGCACAGAUUACUGUGUACUGAAACUGAAUUGAACGAGACCCCAUUCUGAACCUCUAAAUCAGGGGUCGGCAACCCGCAGCUCCGGAGCCGCAUGCGCCUCUUUCAUCUCUGUGCUGCGGCUCCCCGUGGUUUGUUAGUUUUUGAAAUGUAAUUCGAAAUUUGAAGAUUAUGGUGAUCUUGUACAAUCUAAAAACGUUGUGGAGACCCCAUUUCCUGGCACAUCCGAACCGGCUCACAAUUAGCCGCCGUUCCGGCUAAGGGAGAUAGCCUACGGAGGUUUGUGAGUAUGUGUCUUUUGGAGCAUCCGCGCCCACGGGGACGGGUUGAGGGAGGCUUUAAAGCAAGGCUGUUUAGUUUGAAUAAAGUUACCUUUGACUGCAGUGUCUUUAUUUUAGCGCUGCGUGUAGCGCUACACCGCUACAACGUGUUUUUUAUCGCUAUUAAUAUACAUCACCACUGCCAAUGCCUGACA